UGCCCUAGUACGGCGAGUGAAGCGGCAACAGCUCAAAUUUGAAAUCUGGCGUCUUUGGCGUCCGAGUUGUAAUUUGCAGAGGGCGCUUUGGCAUUGGCAGCGGUCCAAGUUCCUUGGAACAGGACGUCACAGAGGGUGAGAAUCCCGUACGUGGUCGCUAGCCUUUACCGUGUAAAGCCCCUUCGACGAGUCGAGUUGUUUGGGAAUGCAGCUCUAAAUGGGAGGUAAAUUUCUUCUAAAGCUAAAUACUGGCCAGAGACCGAUAGCGCACAAGUAGAGUGAUCGAAAGAUGAAAAGCACUUUGGAAAGAGAGUUAAAAAGCACGUGAAAUUGUUGAAAGGGAAGCGCUUGCAGCCAGACUUGCCUGUAGUUGCUCAUCCGGGUUUCUACCCGGUGCACUCUUCUACGGGCAGGCCAGCAUCAGUUUGGGCGGUUGGAUAAAGGUCUCUGUCAUGUACCUCCUCUCGGGGAGAACUUAUAGGGGAGACGACAUGCAACCAGCCCGGACUGAGGUCCGCGCAUCUGCUAGGAUGCUGGCGUAAUGGCUGUAAGCGGCCCGUCUUGAAACACGGACCAAGGAGUCUAACAUCUAUGCGAGUGUUUGGGUGUCAAGCCCGAGCGCGUAAUGAAAGUGAACGGAGGUGGGAACCUUUCGGGGUGCACCAUCGACCGAUCCUGAUGUCUUCGGAUGGAUUUGAGUAAGAGCAUAGCUGUUGGGACCCGAAAGAUGGUGAACUAUGCUUGAAUAGGGUGAAGCCAGAGGAAACUCUGGUGGAGGCUCGCAGCGGUUCUGACGUGCAAAUCGAUCGUCAAAUUUGGGCAUAGGGGCGAAAGACUAAUCGAACUAUCUAGUAGCUGGUUCCUGCCGAAGUUUCCCUCAGGAUAGCAGUAACGUUUUCAGUUUUAUGAGGUAAAGCGAAUGAUUAGAGGACUGGGGGAUGAAACAUCCUU
rnacentral:rRNA from 1 species